AGAAUGAACGCUGGCGGCGUGCUUAACACAUGCAAGUCGAACGAGAAAUCUUUAGCUUGCUAGAGAAAGUAAAGUGGCGCACGGGUGAGUAACGCGUGGGUAAUCUGCCUCCGAAUCGGGGAUAACAUUGCGAAAGCGAUGCUAAUACCGGAUAAAAUCUGGUUGGCUUAGGUGAACCGGAUCAAAGGUGGUCUCUUUAUAAAAGCUACCGUUUGGAGAUGAGCUCGCGUACCAUUAGCUAGUUGGUGAGGUAAAGGCUCGCCAAGGCGACGAUGGUUAGCUGGUCUGAGAGGAUGAUCAGCCACACCGGAACUGGAACACGGUCCGGACUCCUACGGGAGGCAGCAGUGAGGAAUUUUGCGCAAUGGGGGAAACCCUGACGCAGCAACGCCGCGUGAGUGAUGAAGGCUUUCGGGUCGUAAAGCUCUGUCAGGUGGGAAGAACCCACCAAGUGUUAAGACCACUUGGUGCUGACGGUACCACCGAAGGAAGCACCGGCUAACUCCGUGCCAGCAGCCGCGGUAAUACGGGGGGUGCGAGCGUUAUUCGGAAUCAUUGGGCGUAAAGGGCGCGCAGGCGGUUUUGUAAGUCAGAUGUGAAAUCCCGGGGCUUAACCCCGGAAGUGCAUAUGAAACUAUGAGACUUGAGUAUGGGAGAGGGAAGCGGAAUUCCUGGUGUAGCGGUGAAAUGCGUAGAUAUCAGGAGGAACACCGGUGGCGAAGGCGGCUUCCUGGACCAAUACUGACGCUGAGGCGCGAAGGCGUGGGGAGCGAACAGGAUUAGAUACCCUGGUAGUCCACGCAGUAAACGUUGAUCACUAGGUGUAGCGGGUAUUGACCCCUGCUGUGCCGGAGUUAACGCAUUAAGUGAUCCGCCUGGGGAGUACGAUCGCAAGAUUAAAACUCAAAGGAAUUGACGGGGGCCCGCACAAGCGGAGGAACAUGUGGUUUAAUUCGACGAUACGCGAGGAACCUUACCUGGGCUUAAACUUACAGAGCUGUUACCAGAGAUGGUAAUUUCCGCAAGGACUGUGUAAGAGGUGCUGCAUGGCUGUCGUCAGCUCGUGCCGUGAGGUGUCGGGUUAAGUCCCAUAACGAGCGCAACCCCUAUUGCUAGUUACCAACACGUAAAGGUGGGGACUCUAGUGAGACUGCCACCGUAAGGUGAGAGGAAGGUGGGGAUGACGUCAAGCCAGCAUGGCCAUUAUGUCCAGGGCUACACACGUGUUACAAUGGCCGGUACAGAGGGCAGCUACUGUGUAAACAGAUGCGAAUCUCGAAAGCCGGUCCCAGUUCGGAUCGUAGUCUGCAACCCGACUGCGUGAAGUUGGAUUCGCUAGUAAUCGCGCAUCAGC
rnacentral:rRNA from 1 species